rnacentral:ribozyme from 1 species
CUCCUGUUCUUUCACUCGUCUCUCUCUCUUUUUUUCCUCCGAAGAACAAAAAAUAAAUCUUUGCCCUCCUCGUGCCCUCGUGCCCUCGUGUCGUCGUCGUCGUCGUUACGCCUGAGACUUAGACCUGGAUCUUGAUGAUGUUCAUGUUCCUUAUAUCUUCUUUUCUCGUCGUCGU